UCCUGGUGGCUUAGAUGGUAAAGCGUCUGCUUGCAAUGCAGGAGACCCAGGUUUAACUCCUGGAUUGGGAA
rnacentral:tRNA from 1 species